rnacentral:rRNA from 1 species
GAUCCUGGCUCAGAGUGAACGCUGGCGGCGUGCCUAAUACAUGCAAGUCGAACGGAGAUUAAGUAGCUUGCUAUUUAAUCUUAGUGGCGCACGGGUGAGUAAUAUAUAGUUAAUCUCGCCCCAUAGUGGAGGACAACAGUUAGAAAUGACUGCUAAUACUCCAUACUCCUUCUUAUCAUAAGUUAAGUCGGGUAAAGUUUUUCGCUAUGGGAUGAGACUAUAUCGUAUCAGCUAGUUGG